GAUGAACGCUAGCUACAGGCUUAACACAUGCAAGUCGAGGGGCAGCGGUAUCGAAAGCUUGCUUUCGGUAGCCGGCGACCGGCGCACGGGUGAGUAACGCGUAUCGAACCUGCCUCAUACUCGGGAAUAGCCUUGCGAAAGUAAGAUUAAUGCCCGGUGUUUUCAGAGUCCCGCAUGAGGCCUUGAACAAAGAUUUAUCGGUAUGAGAUGGCGAUGCGUCCCAUUAGCUUGUUGGCGGGGUAACGGCCCACCAAGGCAUCGAUGGGUAGGGGUUCUGAGAGGAAGGUCCACCACAUUGGAACUGAGACACGGUCCAAACUCCUACGGGAGGCAGCAGUGAGGAAUAUUGGUCAAUGGGCGGAAGCCUGAACCAGCCAAGUAGCGUGCAGGAAGACGGCCCUCCGGGUUGUAAACUGCUUUUAGUUGGGAAGAAAACGGGGCUCGUGAGCCCCCUUGCAUGUACCAUCAGAAAAAGGACCGGCUAAUUCCGUG
rnacentral:rRNA from 1 species